GAAUAUAUAAUUGAACAUUUAGAUAUAACAAUUUCACUAUGUGUAAUAAUGAUGGAAGGUAGGAGAUUUUUAGUGUUACAAAAAUUGGUAUAGGAGGUAUUGGAAAAAGAAAGUGUGGCGUGUCAUUCGGGGUGCUCGUAUACAUUUGCAAGGCAAGCUGAGAAAUAUAUUCAUUAUUCACCUUACAAAGCUCAGUAAGGCAAGCUGAGAAAUAUAUCCAUUAUUCACCUUACAUAGCUCAGUAUGGUGUUAACACCAAAAACUUAUAUUAUAUGCAUACAGACAUAAAAUUCAUAUGUGCAAGAAACUUCUAUUUUUGGUGUUUCUAUUUCGCUGCUAACAAUGUAACUAAAUUUAUACAUAUGUGGAAGAAACUUCUAUUUUUCGUGUUUCUA